AGAGUUUGAUUAUGGCUCAGGAUGAACGCUGGCGGCGUGCCUAACACAUGCAAGUCGAGCGAGAAGCUUUGAACUGACGCUUCGGUUGAUGAUCAAAGUGGAAAGCGGCGGACGGGUGAGUAACGCGUAGGCAACCUGCCCUUUGCAGAGGGAUAGCCUCGGGAAACCGGGAUUAAAACCUCAUAACGCACAACUGAGACAUCUUGGAUGUGCCAAAGAUUUAUCGGCAGAGGAUGGGCCUGCGUCUGAUUAGUUAGUUGGUGGGGUAACGGCCUACCAAGGCGACGAUCAGUAGCCGACCUGAGAGGGUGAUCGGCCACAUUGGAACUGAGACACGGUCCAA
rnacentral:rRNA from 1 species